CCCCCUCACCACCGACGACCAGCACGUCAGCGGCUCCACCUCCGGCGACCACCCCUACCACCUCUCGCGAAAACCUGCCUUUUUGCCCUAGAUUCAAAUCGGCAGAGUAGGUACUCUCUCUCUCUCUCUCUCAGCCAUAGCCCUAGAAAUUGGGGAUUUCACUCUGAUUAGGGUUAACUUUGAAUUGAAAUUAGGGAUUUCAGAACUUAUUUCGAUUUUGAUUUCCCUCGGAUUAGGGUUAAUGCUGAACAGAACUUGUUACAAUUUCGCUCGAUUUGAGGUUAAACAGCUGGGUCUUAAUAAUCGUUGGAGGACUAAGAGUUUUCUGGAUAUAAUUCGGCUACGCUUGAUGCUGUUCCCAUUGCGCAUGCUGAAUGGUAUCUCUUUCAACUCCACAUUUUGGAGGGCUAAGAGUCUGUGAUGUGCCUGCCUUUUACAGUGGUGACGCUUACUCGGUAAUUCUCUGCAGUGAGUUUCCUUGAAAACUCAGUCUAGGAUUUUGGGAUGAUUUCGACUGGUGAUGUUUCUUCUUAGAUGUUCAGAAUGCUCUUCUCAACGCCAAAUUUUUGGAGGGCCAAGAGUCAAGAGUGUGUCACAUGCCUGAUGUUUACAGAUAGUGACUUUACUGUUAACAACCUUCUAUAGCAGUGAGUCUCAACUGCUGUUAUCAAGGUCACUGAUAGGAGGAUGCUCAACUUGUACAUGUCGUAAGGUUUAGAAUCUUCACUGUCAUCUUCUUGUAACUCCUAUUAUUAGGAGGGCUAAGAAGUUUGGAGAUGCUUUGCUAUUAUGCUGGGAUACUUAUGCUGAUGAAAUAUUGAUGCUGAUACUUUGGCCAUUUCAAGCUUCAAGUGGUGAUUUUAUCAACGUUACGAAUCGAAUUGUGCUUUGGGUUAGGAUCUGAUGAAGUGAUGCUCUUGGUUAUGGUGGAAUCAAAUAUUUUCGUGCAGUUACCUUAGAUUGAUUGUGCUGGAUUGGUACUUUGGGCCUAUGUAACUUUGGGCUCAUUCAAUCUUCAUUGAAUGUAUCUUGUAUCUUUUCCUCAAUCUUCAAGGUUCACAUCAACUGGACAUCUCAUCUACAAGCUUGGAGGAUACAAGCGUGUGAUUGAGAGAUUCAAGAAGGAAGCUGCUGAAAUGAACAAGAAGUCAUUCAAGUACUACUGCACGGUCAUUGACGCUCCUGGUCAUUGUGACUUUAUCAAGAACAUUUGGCUUCCAAGAGUUGGGAGCCAUUGAUAGUAGGAUAGUUGCUUACCUUAAUGUCAAGUCUUGUAAUUCAUUUGGUUUUAUGGCUUUUGUGAUAGCAUUUGUUCACCUGUAAUAAAAUGGAGAUGUAAUUCAUUUGGUCACUGUAUCGGCUGAGAGUUUUUGUGAUAGCAUUUUCUUUUAUGGUUUUUUGUUGUGAAUGGAUAAGUUGGCAAUGGAUUUUAUCUAUAAA